CAGGAGAGGCUCCAAACCUACAGAGAAACUUUGUCUCAAAACAAACAAACAGAUAAACAAAUAAGUAAGUAAGUAAAUUAAAAAAAAAAAACCCGUGUGUACGAAUCUGGAUGUUCCUGACUCCUCGCGAGUGAAUCUGAAAUCCCCCGUUCACAGUUUAUGCUCUUCCUUCCUCACUUCUCCCUCCUCGUUAUGUGUGAUUUUACCCAAAUUAUAACACUGUACAAACGGUCGUUCCGUGCAUUCAGAGCUUCUUUCUACUUAUUUGUCAGUAGACAUUUUGACUAAUUAGUUUAAGAGCCUUAAGUAUAAAAGCCAAAUGCGAGAUUCUGACAUAUGCCACGACAUAGAUGAACCUCAAAAACAAAACCAGUGAAGUCAGUCAGGUAGAGAAUGUCGGAUGCUGUGCGGUUCAACUUACAAGGUUCCCUGACUGCUCAGCUUUGUGGAGAGUGGAGUGGCAGCUGCCAAGGGCUCGGGAGGGCUAAGGAGCAGCUGUUUAGUGGCUUUGGUUCCACUUUGUAAAGAUGACCAAGUUCUGAAGUUGGAUGGUGGUGAGUGUGUCACAACACGAAUGGCUUUGAUGCCCCUGAACUGCACACGUCUGUGACAUUGAAGAAAGAAAUUGAAGAAGAUACCAGAAGAUGGAAAGAUCUCCCACGCUCACAGAUCAAUAGGAUUAAUAUUGUGAAAAAGGCCAUCCUACUAAAGGCAGUCUACUGAUUCAGUUCAAUCCCCAUCAAAAUUCCAGCAAAAUUCUUCAUAUAGAAAUACAAGACAACCCAGGGUAACUAAUAAAAUCCUGAAUUUCAAAAAAAAAUAAAACUGCUUGGGGCAUCACC